CCAUCAGCCAGCAGCAACAACCCGUUCUGAUACCCUUGCAAGCUGUGGAAGGGCUGUAACGCUUAUUGUGACGAUCCGGGACUCCAUUCUUGGAAGUCAGCAAGACCACAGCAGAAACCGACUCCAGACAGUUUCCUGUGCUCCAGGUAGAAGACUUUGAGGGAUCGAGAACUUUUGGUGCUUAGCAUGAUGUUUCAAGUAUUCAUGAAAUAUUUCGGGAAUGGAACUGAUAGUUACUGAAAAGAGAUGUCAGCGGAAGGGGAGUAAGCUGAAGUCAAAGGACCAAGGCUCUAAUUCUACCCCUGCCAAAACCCAAGGUUUUCUAAUGUACAAGUAGACAACAGAGAUCCUGAAGUUAUUCUGCACAAAGCUUUAGCAUCCAACCUAGAAAGGAAAC
rnacentral:lncRNA from 10 species